rnacentral:lncRNA from 1 species
CAUGUAAGGCGGUCUUUUAUAUGAUUGUACGAAGUCAUUUAGGUUUUAUGCUCCUUCUUAUCGUGCACGUAUUUUUAUAUCAUCGAAAUGACUAUUCCGACUUGGUUGGGUUUUAUCCGUUUAGUUUUUUCACUAAGCGAAUAUGUGAUUAAUAUUCAUACUAAGAAAAUGUGCAAGGUUUAAUGGAUUUAAGCAAUAUGUACAACAACAGAAUCGCCAUGCAGCACUGUGUUACUCCCUUAUUAAUGGCUGGGGUGGAUAUUAUAAGUAAUCGAAAUUCGAACGCACCAAAAAAGAGUGGGGCCCAGGGUUUCCUUGCGGGGGUGGCCGCGCACGAGUUUUGGCGGAAGUACGUGAACGAUCCGCUGGACGCGCGCUACACGAAGGACUUCGGCGCAGAGCUGAAGGUGACGAUGGGUGACGUGGUGGUGACGUCAGUGUGGCCAACGAGCAAGACAGUGAUGCGCCCAUGGCACUGGUUCUUCACCCUUUGGCCGGCCAGGGAUGGGGACCCGGGCAAGCCAGACAUACCAGCCACGAUGAUCCGCUUCCUGCCGACGAGGAAAACUCUUUUCGCGAGCGUCAAUCCUCAGCUCUUCAACCCGGCCAGGAAGUACCAGACAAGGGUCCUCAUGAACCGCCAGAAGAAAGCAGGACACAUCGGACUCGUGGGUGUUUUGAUCGCUUAUAUGAUGGGGCAAAAGGAGAAUAUAUACUUCAAUCCCUUUUUCUGCAGCGCGAAACACUACGUGGAGUACCUUUCUCUGGGCCAGGUCACAGGAGGACGUUGGUGGCAACCCCUGUACAACCGACUUAGCAAGAGAUGCCCUGUUAGGAACCUAGUAACCGCCGAAAUGCUGGACGACAUCUACAAGAGUAAGACUUUCACGUUGAAAGGGAAAGUUGUAGACGCGAGGGUUACACUGCAGGUUGAAAAAUGGCCAGAGGAGAUUCAAUUCUUGUACCAACAGCACAAGCAAGAGGUACAAGAAGCAGAAAAGCUAAAAAAGGGCGCCAAAGACGUGACAAUUAAAUGAGAUGCCACUAGAAUAGUUGUGAAUCAAAUAAUUUAAUUAUAUUAUUCAAAGAAUUAUCUGCUCAUGAGGUCAAACACCGAAGAACAAAGGGUGCUUACUUAACAUUCUGGAUGUAAAAAAUUGUGCGCCAACUUACAAAACGCUGAGUCAACCGCCACAGCAGUUAGCUUUACAUCUUGGCAUUGCUAAAGUAACUGCUGUGGCGGUUUUCGUGAGUUGUCGUACACUUUCUUACAUUGAGAAUGUUAAGUCAGCAUCCUUUUUCGGUGAGGUAAGUGACGCCUAGAUUCAGGAUAAUGUUUUAUAUAAUUUGAACCAAUGCAUUUGAGAUCAACCAUCGGAUCCGAAUGCCAUUUUAUUUAACUGAGUGAUUUUUCACCGACACGCAGGAGUUGGUUAUUUUAAUGUCAUUAACAACUGAUUCAUGUAGAUGCAAGGUAUGCAUUUCAAAUUAUAAAAAAUAUCAUGCCUUGUCGUUUAAAUCAUAUGGUGAAGUAAAAUUCUCUAAAAUUUAUUACAAGAUAAUUUUUUCACCCUCAACACUGUCCGUAAUAACACCUUCCGAAAAUGCAUUGCGAAUGGCGUCAUUCACGACAUCUGAGAAUAUCAUUAUUUUCUCUCCUCCCCCAUCUGAAAAUGAUGGUUAAAAAUGGUCAAAGUUUGAGCGCAUUACACUAUGCACUAUUUUCUUUCGAAUAAGAUACAAUGUGCCCAUAAUUUGCCCUUGGAUAGUGGUAUAGGUGAAUUGAAUGUCCUAUAUCAUGUUUUUCAAAUACAUCUCUGUUGAUAUUUUAUCUAGAACUUUAGCGUUUGUUUGCAUUAUAAUUUUUUUUAAAUCAUUCCUGAGACUAUCUUUGGAGUCUGACUUCGUGAUCAGGGAAAUAUACAUUCGUGCGAAAAAGAAAAGGGAGUGAUUACGCAGUAAAUUUUGCGGACUCGAGACCCUGCAUUUUAGUAACAUUAUACUUUUCCGUACAUCUACUAUAUUCGAGCAGCACAGCAAAUUUCAGUACUUUGGGAAACGAACCAAUUUUCACUGCAAAGAAGCCAUGCAUAUACCCUCUAAGCUUGAACUCAAAGAUUAUGUUCGUUCCUUUUACGUUAUAUUUGCGAUUAGUUUAAUUUUUAAUACAGGAGUGCUUUCUGUAUACGUGAUGAUGCAUUUUGUAUUGGGCUUAAGAGCCAGAUACACCUGCGCGCAACACGCGCGUCUUGACCCGAAAAGUAGGAUCCGAUCCUACUUUGAGCGAGUUACGAGUAGCAAGCUGCGACCUGAUUGGCUACGAAGAUCGCCGAACACGGCCGAAGGCCUACUCGCCGCUCAAGACGCGCGUAUAGCUCGCAGGUGUAUCUGCCCCUUUACGUUCACUUUGUCGAAAAAUAUGUGCACCUACAUUCUUGUCACUAGAUUAAAAUUUGGCUAAAACCAGAGCUACAGACGUAUUUGAACUCUUUAAGUUGCUCAAAUUUCUUAGAAUUGAUGAAAUGAUAGAUGUAUUAAGUGCUCAUAGAUCAUAUGUAAGCCUGCCUAGAGCUAAGCUUUUAGUAUAAGGUUAAAUGGUUUAUUUAAAUGUUCUUAAUUUUAUAUAUUUUAUGGUUUUUAGGUUUUUCAAUUUAUUUUAGAAUUACAAACUUAACCCCCCCCCCCCAACUCAUAUAAUGACAAUCGCCUAUGGGGUCUGUGCUUAGGAGAUGUUCAAAAACAAUACGUAAGUUUGAAAUUGGAUGUAAUGACUUCAUUCCCCCCUUUUCUCGUUGUACAUUCGUAGCACUGGUCUACAUCUUCCUAGAAAGAAAGUAACGCUUUGAUCGACCCCCCCCCCCUUCCCCUCAAAUUGGCAUUUUGCAAUGGAUUAUUGCUGGAACAUUGCCACUUCACGACAACUUUUCAUCCUAAAUUUUGAAAAAAUCGGAUCUACGUGCUCAUUCUAGCGUUACGUAAAGUAACUCCGAACACCUGCCCUCACCUGUUAUGCACCCAUAACGUAGACGUAGACCCCUCCUUCCCUCUUAGAUCGUUACGUGUUUUAUGUGUGUUAGAAGCUUUAUGACUGUUGUAAGACUAUUAAAAUGUACACCUUUAUUAAAUAAGGAAAACAUACCUUUGUUGAUUUAAAACGUAGAAAUGAGAGAUGGGGAGAGAGACAGAGACAGCAGUGGCGCGGCGUGCUUUGCAAUAUAUCGAUUGAUCUGCCAUUUAAACCAAUGGAAAAGGAUCGAUAAACAGGGUGUUCGCAACGAACACCUUAAUAAUCGAUUCUUUACCAUAGCUUAAAUGGGGAAAUAUCGAUAAUCGAUCAUUCACGCCUCGCCUCUAGGAGACAGAAAGGUAAACGAGAGCAAACAAAAAACAUCAAAAUUGAAACAUCAAAAUAAAUUGAAAUGGGGUGAACUUCAUCCACUAAGGAAGGCACUUUUUUCAUAGAUGGUUACAUGAAUCGAAAAUGAGUCUUUAAACCAACGAAAUAACGACCGCGCCUUCAAUUUUUGUGAAUACGCAACACAAACGGCUGAUGAGCACGAAUAGUUGCAUUGGCUCUGGUAGAACUUCAUAAAUUAACUAUCGUGUUUAAUAAGUCCUUAAUUGAUUUAUUACCGGUCAAUAACUAAAUUUCAAUAAAGUAACACAACUUACUCACGAAGCAUUGGUACAUCGACGGUGUAAGUCGGCAAUCACAUAACUCGUUUGUGGUGUCUGAAAAUCUCCGCCUCUAUGUUAUUUCUUUAGAGGAGAACAAAUUGACAUCAUCUCUUGAAGUUUUUGCAGAAUUUUCUUCACAUAGAGAAGGAAAAUCGCGACAGUUUUAAAGAAUUGCCGUUGAGUAGUUUUCCGUUUAAAAAACAAAGUACCUAUGAAAGGAAGUCUAUGACGUUGAAAACCGAGUUCCGUGAUUGCCGACUUAUACCGUCGACAUGCAAUUAUGUAAGUUUGCUUUUGGUUUGAAACAAGAGUUCGAUAAUAGGUAUAUCGAAUGAUGUAGUCACUAUACCUGUCUAUUACCUGAAGAUUUUGUUGAAUUUCGUCCCUCCAUUAUUAUACCCUCGGAAAACGCAUCGACACAGUUUACUCUGAAGUUUUAAAUCAUGAGGGCAAGGCAAAGCGGCAAGAAGGCGAAACGGGUGCCGUAACUUCACCACGCAACGAUGCAGCAGUGUCGUUCGGCGGCAACUUGGUCUAAUUUUCAGCUCAAGGUGGAUUGACAAAACCUCGGAGCGG